rnacentral:rRNA from 1 species
UACGAAGGGGGCUAGCGUUGCUCGGAAUCACUGGGCGUAAAGCGCACGUAGGCGGUUUGUUAAGUCUGUCGUGAAAGCCCUGGGCUCAACCUGGGAAUUGCGAUGGAUACUGGCAAGCUAGAGUACGGUAGAGGAUGGUGGAAUUCCCGGUGUAGCGGUGAAAUGCGUAGAGAUCGGGAGGAACACCCGUGGCGAAGGCGGCCAUCUGGACCAGUACUGACGCUGAGGCACGAAAGCGUGGGGAGCAAACAGG